AAAAAAUGGGAUGGAUGGAGUGAACGGGCCAUUAGUCACCGUCAUGCUCAUUCAUGUGGGUCCCAGCCGUAAGUCUCACAAUGCAUUUCCUUUGAAAAAAGAUCAAACCAUCGUUAUCCUCUCAUGCAGCUGCACUGCAACCUUAUCUUCUUUCUCCCUGACUCCUACGAGCUCAGCCUUGCUCUUCUCUGCGCGUCCGCUCGCUCGAGCUCGUUGUUGCCGGCGCCACCGACGAAGCUCCACCAGAUCCGGCAGGCCUGAGUAGUGCCACUCCUCCCAGCUCCCAACAAUCAGCUUGAACUGGAAAGCCAGGAGAGAUUUCAUGCCAAAAAAGAAAGGAAAACCAAACCCCGAAGCUCGGCAAUGGCUGCUGAAGCUCGCUGCGGGAUCUCCUUCCUGCAGGUGCUUACCGGAGAUGACGAGGGAAGCAGAGCCCACGCUACCGAUUCCGUGCGAGCACAGAAACGGAACACCAACCAAACUCGUUGCCAAAUCAACCGAUGGAAUAUGACUUGAUUAGAUCGAAAGCUCCCUAGAAUCGGUGAAUCUGAUACCAAUUUGUUAAUAGAAGAGUAGUUGGGAGGAGUGGAUGAACGGAAUUGGGGAUAGGAUAGCACAGACUAAGCCAGGAAGAAAGGAUUUGGGGCGAGGAGAGGAAUGUUUCCUUCACGAUGAGUCCGUUCAAGAUACAAGAUGAACCCUAGCCUCUCUCCUCUCCCAGUACUUCUACUGGCGCCGGCG
rnacentral:lncRNA from 1 species